UGAUGAAGAACGCAGUGAAAUGCGAUAAGUAAUGUGAAUUGCAGAAUUCAGUGAAUCAUCGAAUCUUUGAACGCACAUUGCGCCCGCCAGCAUUCUGGCGGGCAUGCCUGUUCGAGCGUCAUUUCAACCCCUCAGGCCCUGGUGCCUGGCGUCGGGGCUCUCCCUCACGGGAGGCCCCCAGAGACAGUGGCGGACCCGCCGCGGCUCCGAGCGCAGUAGUAAAAUAUCUCGCUUAGGAGGCCCGCGGAGGAGCUUUCCGGCCGUAAAACCAGGUCUGCAAAGACCGACCCCACCAAGGUUGACCUCGGAUCAGGUAGGAAUACCCGCUGAACUUAAGCAUAUCAAUAAGCGGAGGA
rnacentral:misc_RNA from 1 species